UUCCUGUAGAGUGUGCACAGUUGAGA
rnacentral:piRNA from 1 species